GACGAGUGGUGCAAGUGUUAUUCCUCGUGACUGGGCGUAUAGGGUGCGUAGGCGGUGUAAAAAGUUUUCAAUUAAAUGCACAUACGUGGAACAAAUUGAUCAAACUAUUACACUAGAGUAUAGUAGAAGAUAGCGGAACUUAUUGCAUUAGAGUUAAAAUGCGUUUAAAACAAUAAGUAACACCAGAGGCGAAGGCGGCUAUCUAGACUAUACUGACGCUGAGGCACGAAGGCAUGGGGAUCAAAUGGG
rnacentral:rRNA from 1 species